rnacentral:lncRNA from 1 species
CUCAUCUGUCUUUUGUGGUAUCAGUGUUCUGGAUUUUGGCCAUUCUAACAGAUGUGUGGUGGUGUCUUAUUGUUGUUUUAAUUUGCAUUUGUCUGAUGAUAUAUGUUGUGCUGCAUCUUUUCAUAUGCUUAUUUUCCAUCUGUAUAUCUUUUAUGGUGAUGUGUCCAUUAAGAUCUUUCAACCAUUUUUAAAUCACGUUGUUUUCUUGUUGUGGUUUUAAGAUUUUGCAUAUUUUGGAUAAAAGUCUUUAAUCAGAUAUAUCUUUUGCAAAUAUGUUCUUCUAGUCUAUGACUUGUCUUUUUCGUCUCUUCACGUUGUCUUUCACUAAGUAGAAAUUUUUAAUUUUAAUGAAGUCCAAUUCAUUUUACAUUUAAGUCUGUGAUCCAUUUUGAGAUCAUUUUUGUGAAGGGUGUAAGGCUUGUUUCUAGAUUCAUUUUUUUGUAUGUAAAUGUCCAGUUGUUUCAGCACCUUUUGUUGAAAAGAUUAUUUUUUCUUCAUUGUAUUGCCCUUGUUCUUUGUCAAAGACUGGUUGACUAUAUUUAUAUGGGUCUACUUCUGAGUUCUGUAUUCUGUUCCAUUCAUCUACUUGUCUAUUUUUUGCCACUAUCACUGUUUGGAUUCCUUUCAUUUUAUAGUAGUGUAGUAUCAGUCCUCCAACUUUAUUAUUCUCAUUUAAUAUUGUGUUGGCUAUUCUGAGUCUUUGCCCCUUUAUGUAAACUUUAGAAUCAGUUUCUUAGAAUCUACAGAAUAACUUGCUGGAAUUUUGGCUAAGCUCACAUUGAGCUUAUAUAUCAAUUUGGGAAGAGCUCACAUCUUGACAAUAUUGAGUCUUUCUACCCAUGAACAUGGAAUAUCUCCCAAUUUCUUUCUUUCUUUUUUUUAAACAAAGUUUUAUGGUGUUUCUCAUAUAGAGCUUGUACAUAUUUUAUUAGAUUUAUUUAUUUUUUCUUUUCUUUUUUUUUUUUUUUNNNNNNNNNNUUUUUUUUUUUUUUUUGAGAUGGAGUUUAGCUCUGUCACCCAGGCUGGAGUGCAGUGGCACAAUCUCAGCUCA